GCCUCCGUGGCUCAAUCGGCUAGCGCGUUCGGCUGCUAACCGAAAGGUUGGUGGUUCGAGAACACCCGGGGGCG
rnacentral:tRNA from 1 species